GCGAGUUAAUGCUCAUUGGAAUCGUCUAUGUUCAAGACCGACACUGAAUGAGAAUCUCACCCUCAAUGAUGGCUCACGUUUCACAGGGAUUUAUGUAGCAGCGAAUAUCCACAAUUGCGCUGGAACAGACAGAUGGGAUGAAGUUCUGCUCUUGCUGAUGGCUGUUCAUGAUCCCGGGGCAAGACCUGAGCGGAUUGGACGCAGCUCCCGAAGGAGAGGAGCUCACAGCAAGAAGCCGCCUGGAACUGGCAAUGGAAUUGCACUUUGCCUGUUGUAAGGGUCCAGAAAUUCAGCAAACAGACAGCACCAUGCUGACUCCAUGGGCCAUCCAGCAAGUGCGACUCUGCCUCUUCUCUUUGUAUCUCUGAUUCUUCCCUCCUCCAGUCCCCGUUUCAUUCGCUGCAGGGAACACAAGCCCAGACUAUCCCACCUCUCCCUAUAACUGAAGUCCUUCAAUCCGGGCAACAUCCUGGACGGUUGUUCACACAAUGAAGAGUCAUAGCCUUCAUCUGGAGGUGUAACCAUUAGAGACAACAAGCAAAGUGCUGGAGGGACUCCACAG